rnacentral:piRNA from 2 species
UUUAAUAUCUGAUACGUCCUCUA